rnacentral:rRNA from 1 species
GACGAACGCUGGCGGCGUGCUUAACACAUGCAAGUCGAACGGAAAGGCCCUUCGGGGUACUCGAGUGGCGAACGGGUGAGUAACACGUGGGUGAUCUGCCCUGCACUUUGGGAUAAGCCUGGGAAACUGGGUCUGAUACCGAAUAGGACCGCAUGCUUCAUGGUGUGUGGUGGAAAGCUUUUGCGGUGUGGGAUGGGCCCGCGGCCUAUCAGCUUGUUGGUGGGGUAAUGGCCUACCAAGGCGACGACGGGUAGCCGGCCUGAGAGGGUGACCGGCCGCACUGGGACUGAGAUACGGCCCAGACUCCUACGGGAGGCAGCAGUGGGGAAUAUUGCACAAUGGGCGCAAGCCUGAUGCAGCGACGCCGCGUGAGGGAUGACGGCCUUCGGGUUGUAAACCUCUUUCAGCAGGGACGAAGCGCAAGUGACGGUACCUGCAGAAGAAGGACCGGCCAACUACGUGCCAGCAGCCGCGGUAA